CCUACGGGUGGCAGCAGUGAGGAAUAUUGGUCAAUGGACGAGAGUCUGAACCAGCCAAGUAGCGUGAAGGAUGACUGCCCUAUGGGUUGUAAACUUCUUUUAUAUGGGAAUAAAAUGUUCCACGUGUGGGAUUUUGUAUGUACCAUAUUAAUAAGGAUCGGCUAACUCCUUGCCAGCAGCCGCGGUAAUACGGAGGAUCCGAGCGUUAUCCGGUUUUAUUGGGUUUAAAGGGAGCGUAGGUGGAUUGUUAAGUCAGUUGUGAAAGUUUGCGGCUCAACCGUAAAAUUGCAGUUGAAACUGGCAGUCUUGAGUACAGUAGAGGUGGGCGGAAUUCGUGGUGUAGCGGUGAAAUGCUUAGAUAUCACGAAGAACUCCGAUUGCGAAGGCAGUUCACUGGACUGCAACUGACACUGAGGCUCGAAAGUGUGGGUAUCAAACAGGAUUAGAUACCCGUGUAGUC
rnacentral:rRNA from 1 species